AAAGAACCAACAGGGAUUGCCCUAGUAACGGCGAGUGAAGCGGCAACAGCUCAAAUUUGAAAUCUGGCCUCGGCCCGAGUUGUAAUUUGCAGAGGAUGCUUUUGGUGCGGUGCCUUCCGAGUUCCCUGGAACGGGACGCCACAGAGGGUGAGAGCCCCGUAUGGUUGGACACCAAUCCUGUGUAAAGCUCCUUCGACGAGUCGAGUAGUUUGGGAAUGCUGCUCUAAAUGGGAGGUAAAUCUCUUCUAAAGCUAAAUACCGGCCAGAGACCGAUAGCGCACAAGUAGAGUGAUCGAAAGAUGAAAAGCACCUUGAAAAGGGGGUUAAACAGUACGUGAAAUUGUUGAAAGGGAAGCACUUGUGACCAGACUUGGGCCGGGCGGCUCAUCAGGGGUUCUCCCCUGUGCACUCCGCCCGGUACAGGCCAGCAUCGGUUUUUGCCGGGGGAUAAGAACGGUAGGAACGUGGCUCCCCCUCGGGGGAGUGUUAUAGCCUGUCGUACGAUACCCUGGCGGGGACCGAGGUUCGCGCUUCCGCAAGGAUGCUGGCGUAAUGGUUACUAGUGACCCGUCUUGAAACACGGACCAAGGAGUCGUCCAUUAGAGCGAGCGUUUGGGUGUCAAACCCGCACGCGUAAUGAAAGUGAAAUUAGGUGAGAGCUUCGGCGCAUCAUCGACCGAUCCUGAUGUUCUCGGAUGGAUUUGAGUAAGAGUUUUAACGGACGGACCCGAAAGACAGUGAACUAUGCUUGUAUAGGGUGAAGCCAGAGGAAACUCUGGUGGAGGCUCGCAGCGGUUCUGACGUGCAAAUCGAUCGUCAAAUAUGAGCAUGGGGGCGAAAGACUAAUCGAACUGUCU
rnacentral:rRNA from 1 species